rnacentral:rRNA from 1 species
UACAGAGGUCUCAAGCGUUGUUCGGAUUCAUUGGGCGUAAAGGGUGCGUAGGCGGCGCGGUAAGUCGGGUGUGAAAUCUCGGAGCUUAACUCCGAAACUGCAUUCGAUACUGCCGUGCUUGAGGACUGGAGAGGAGACUGGAAUUUACGGUGUAGCAGUGAAAUGCGUAGAUAUCGUAAGGAAGACCAGUGGCGAAGGCGGGUCUCUGGACAGUUCCUGACGCUGAGGCACGAAGGUCAGGGGAGCAAACAGG